rnacentral:rRNA from 1 species
UACGUAGGGUGCGAGCGUUAAUCGGAAUUACUGGGCGUAAAGCGUGCGCAGGCGGUUCGUUAUGUCCGUUGUGAAAGCCCCAGGCUCAACCUGGGAACUGCGUCCGAUACUGGCAGGCUUGAAUCCGGGAGAGGGAUGUGGAAUUCCAGGUGUAGCGGUGAAAUGCGUAGAUAUCUGGAGGAACACCGGUGGCGAAGGCGGCAUCCUGGACCGGUAUUGACGCUGAGGCGCGAAAGCUAGGGGAGCAAACGGG